ACUUUUACAAUCUGUAAGUCGCUCUGGAUAAGAGUAUCUGCUAAAUGACAUCAA
rfam:Salmo salar isolate Sally breed double haploid chromosome ssa20, whole genome shotgun sequence.